UACGGGGGGGGCAAGCGUUGUUCGGAAUUACUGGGCGUAAAGGGCGCGUAGGCGGCCACCGCAAGUCGAUUGUGAAAUCUCCGGGCUUAACCCGGAAAGGUCAACCGAUACUGCGGGGCUAGAGUGCAGAAGGGGCAACUGGAAUUCUUGGUGUAGCGGUGAAAUGCGUAGAUAUCAAGAGGAACACCUGCGGCGAAGGCGGGUUGCUGGGCUGACACUGACGCUGAGGCGCGAAAGCUAGGGGAGCGAACGGG
rnacentral:rRNA from 1 species